AACGAACGCUGGCGGCGCGUUUUAAGCAUGCAAGUCGAACGGCAGCCAUGGGGCAACCUGUGGCGAGAGUGGCGAACGGGUGAGUAACACGUAGGUGAUCUACCCUUGGAUGUGGGAUAGUCCGUGGAAACACGGGGUAAUACCGCAUGAGGCCUUGGGGGCAAAGCCCCGAGGUGAAAGCUUCAAUUGGAGCGUCUGGGGAUGAGCCUGCGGCCCAUUAGGUAGUUGGUGAGGUAAUGGCCCACCAAGCCGACGAUGGGUAGCCGGCCUGAGAGGGUGUACGGCCACACUGGAACUGGGACACGGUCCAGACACCUACGGGAGGCAG
rnacentral:rRNA from 1 species